rnacentral:rRNA from 1 species
CUAGCGACUUCAGAGUUUGAUCCUGGCUCAGGAUGAACGCUGGCGGCGUACUUAACACAUGCAAGUCGAACGGAGCUUGUCUGAUAGAGGAUUCGUCCAAUUGAUUACAAGCUUAGUGGCGGACGGGUGAGUAACGCGUGAGGAACCUGCCUUGGAGUGGGGAAUAACACAGUGAAAAUUGUGCUAAUACCGCAUAAUGCAGUUGAGUCGCAUGGCUCUGACUGCCAAAGAUUUAUCGCUCUAAGAUGGCCUCGCGUCUGAUUAGGUAGUUGGUGAGGUAACGGCUCACCAAGCCGACGAUCAGUAGCCGGACUGAGAGGUUGGCCGGCCACAUUGGGACUGAGACACGGCCCAG